GGCGAACGCUGGCGGCGUGCUUAACACAUGCAAGUCGAACGGAAAGGCCCUGCUUGCCGGGUACUCGAGUGGCGAACGGGUGAGUAACACGUGGGUGAUCUGCCCUGCACUUCGGGAUAAGCCUGGGAAACUGGGUCUAAUACCGGAUAGGAGCCAUUUUUAGUGUGAUGGUUGGAAAGUUUUUUCGGUGUAGGAUGAGCUCGCGGCCUAUCAGCUUGUUGGUGGGGUAAUGGCCUACCAAGGCGGCGACGGGUAGCCGGCCUGAGAGGGUGGACGGCCACAUUGGGACUGAGAUACGGCCCAGACUCCUACGGGAGGCAGCGGUGGGGAAUAUUGCACAAUGGGCGCAAGCCUGAUGCAGCGACGCCGCGUGGGGGAUGACGGCCUUCGGGUUGUAAACUCCUCUCGCUAGGGACGAAGCUUUUUGUGACGGUACCUAGAUAAGAAGCACCGGCUAACUACGUG
rnacentral:rRNA from 1 species